rnacentral:tRNA from 1 species
GCCAAGUGGUUAGGGCGAUGCACUAGAAAUUCAUUGGGGUCUCCCCGCACAGGUUCGAAUCCUGU